CCGUUCCCAUCCCGAACACGGAAGUAAAACGCCCUCGCGCCGAUGGUACUGCAGCUCGUCUGCGGGAGAGUAGGUCGCUGCCAGGU
rnacentral:rRNA from 1 species